GGAUGCCGGCCAAUUACCUCCGCAACGACAAUUGCGACCCGCUCGGCGGACGGCCAUUCCGAAACGUCUCUCCUCUCAGAUGAUUGCACGGCCAUGUUGGGAAUGCCGUCCGCGAGGAUCAAGGUCUGGAUUCUGAGAGAGACCCUUGCAUGCGGAAGGAGCAAGCCUGUCGCAUUUUGAUUGAGGCAGCUGAUCCUGGGGAACCACGUCUGUGAGCUGUGGUCGAGCCCAAAUCAGAGCCGACAAGCUACGGAGCCC